UAGUGGGUGGGGUAACGGCCCACCAAGGCGACGAUCAGUAGCCGGACUGAAAGGUUGCCCGGCCACAUUGUGAUUGAGACACGGCCCAGACUCCUACGGGAGGCAGCAGUGGGGAAUAUUGGGCAAUGGGCGCAAGCCUGACCCAGCAACGCCGCGUGAAGGAAGAAGGCUUUCGGGUUGUAAACUUCUUUUGUUAGGGACGAAGAAAGUGACGGUACCUAAGGAAUAAGCCACGGCUAACUACGUGCCAGCAGCCGCGGUAAUAAGUAGGUGGCAAGCGUUAUCUGGAUUUACUGGGUGUAAAGGGCGUGUAGGCGGGAUUGCAAGUCAGAUGUGAAAACCACGGGCUCAACCUGUGGCCUGCAUUUGAAACUGUAGUUCUUGAGUACUGGAGAGGCAGACGGAAUUCCUAGUGUAGCGGUGAAAUGCGUAGAUAUUAGGAGGAACACCAGUGGCGAAGGCGGUCUGCUGGACAGCAACUGACGAUGAGGCGCGAAAGCGUGGGGAGCCAACAGGAUUAGAUACCCUGGUAGUCCACGCCGUAAACGAUGACUACUAGGUGUGGGGGGUCUGACCCCCUCCGUGCCGCAGUAACGCAAUAA
rnacentral:rRNA from 1 species